UUUUGGAGAGGAUGCUUUUGGCGCGGCGCCUUCCGAGUUCCUUGGAACAGGACGCCACAGAGGGUGAGAGCCCCGUACGGUUGGACGCCUAGCCUCUAUAAAGCUCCUUCGACGAGUCGAGUAGUUUGGGAAUGCUGCUCAAAAUGGGAGGUAAAUUUCUUCUAAAGCUAAAUACCGGCCAGAGACCGAUAGCGCACAAGUAGAGUGAUCGAAAGAUGAAAAGUACUUUGAAAAGAGGGUUAAACAGUACGUGAAAUUGUUAAAAGGGAAGCGCCUGUGACCAGACUUGCGCCCCGCGGACCACCCGGCGUUCUCGCCGGUGCACUCCGCGGGGCGCAGGCCAGCAUCGGUUUUCCUAGGGGGAGAAAGGUCGCGGGAACGUAGCUCCUCCGGGAGUGUUAUAGCCCGCGGCGCCAUGCCCCUGGGGGGACCGAGG
rnacentral:rRNA from 1 species